GCCUGAUCAGCACGCCGCGUGAGGGAUGAAGGCCUUCGGGUUGUAAACCUCUUUCAGCAGGGAAGAAGCUGACGGGACCGUCCCAGCAAAACACGGACCGGUUCAUUACAUGACCCCCGGUGAUAUAAUAGGUACGGGGCUAGCGUUGACCUAAAGUACUGAGCGUAAACAGCUGGUAUGCGGUUUGUCGCGUGUGAAGUGAAAAUCCUAAGCUCAACCUCUGACUUGCAGACUGUACCGGCAGACUACAGUGAAGGAGGGGAGAAUUGAAUUCCUGGAGGAGCAAUGCAAUGCUCAUAUAUCAAAACAAACACCGAUAGAGAACGCACAUCUCCGGGUCUUAACUGAAACUGAGAAACCAAUGCGUGCGAACCGAACUAGAUUACCUGGCCUGGCACUCCAUACCAUAUACGUUGGGAACUAGGUGUGGGUAUCAUUCCACGGGUUCCGUGCCCUAACUAACUCAUUAACCUCCCCGCCUGGGGAGUACGGCCGCAAGGCUAAACUCUAAUGAAUUUGACAGG
rnacentral:rRNA from 1 species